GAGUUUGAUCGUGGCUCAGAUUGAACGCUGGCGGCAUGCCUUACACAUGCAAGUCGAACGGCAGCACGGGAGCUUGCUCCUGGUGGCGAGUGGCGAACGGGUGAGUAAUGCAUCGGAACGUAUCCUGGAGUGGGGGAUAACGUAGCGAAAGUUACGCUAAUACCGCAUAUUCUGUGAGCAGGAAAGCGGGGGACCUUCGGGCCUCGCGCUCUUGGAGCGGCCGAUGUCGGAUUAGCUAGUUGGUGAGGUAAAGGCUCACCAAGGCGACGAUCCGUAGCAGGUCUGAGAGGAUGAUCUGCCACACUGGAACUGAGACACGGUCCAGACUCCUACGGGAGGCAGCAGUGGGAUUUUGGACAAUGGGGCAACCCUGAUCCAGCCAUGCCGCGUGAGUGAAGAAGGCC
rnacentral:rRNA from 1 species